GAUGAACGCUGGCGGGCGGUGCCUAACACAUGCAAGUCGAGCGAUCUUCUUCGGAAGAGAGCGGCGGACGGGUGAGUAACGCGUGGGUAACCUGCCCUGUACACACGGAUAACAUACCGAAAGGUAUGCUAAUACGGGAUAAUAUGCUUUUAUCGCAUGGUAGAAGUAUCAAAGCUCCGGCGGUACAGGAUGGACCCGCGUCUGAUUAGCUAGUUGGUAAGGUAACGGCUUACCAAGGCGACGAUCAGUAGCCGACCUGAGAGGGUGAUCGGCCACAUUGGAACUGAGACACGGUCCAAACUCCUACGGGAGGCAGCAGUGGGGAAUAUUGCACAAUGGGCGAAAGCCUGAUGCAGCAACGCCGCGUGAGCGAUGAAGGCCUUCGGUCGUAAAGACUCUGUCCUCAAGGAAGAUAAUGACGGUACUUGAGGAGGAAGCCCCCGG
rnacentral:rRNA from 1 species